GAUAAGAGACUGCAUGUAAUUGAAGCACAUCUGAAGUCAUCCACGUACAUUGUACUGUGUAUAUUGAACCAAGACAUGUACAAUAUAUUUUACAUGUCUUGGUUCAUGAAGUGUGAUAAGUAUUGUUUUCUUACGUUACGUUUACGCUAAAAUAUGACGGCUAUGGCUAGCUAUGGUUGAUAGUUGCCAAAGUCCUUCAUGAUUUCGUCUGUAAGAAGCAUUACAUACGUUUAACGUAUUAUACCGAUCUUUCAAAAUAUUUUGAAUAUUUGAAUUUCGUCUUAAAUACUUAGUUUUACAUAGUUAAGCAGUGAUCUCUGAACUUUCACAUUCGCAAAGCCAAUCGCGUUCGACUUGCCGGAACGAUGUUAAAACAUCCUUUCAAAAUGCAUGCAGCAGGGAAAUUGAAGAAAAAUAUUAAACGCUUUUCAGUUUGACCCAUAGUGACGAGCAGCAAAGUUAUUUGACAUGCAUGUCGACCUCUGAGUUUUGUUGAAGUGCCUUUUAUUUUUAGAUUAAUUCUCUGCGUUCCCUACUUUAAAUGGCUUCGUUUGGUGUCGCUACAAAUCUUGGCUACAAAUGAGUCGUAUUCGGCGAAGAGAUUGUCUUACACAGCCAGUGUUUACCUUGUGACAGUGUCAAGAUUUCAUUAUAUAACUCGCUGCUAAAAGUGCGAAUGGAAUGACUGUGAAUAUAAGGCUAGCGUAUUAUUUUUGUGCGUUUCCUAAGUGUGUCUGAACUGCAGUGAUAUAGAGGAUGCUCCUGCACUAGCUCACACUGUUCCGAUUGCAGAAGUUGUUCUGAAAGAUGUACACGGAAGGAUGUUCUUGCACUGUUGAACUUGGGUUCCACGAUGGCAAAAGCAGCGAGGUUGCAGAAUCUGUUAGCACCUCAUCCUGAACAGCAACUCCAGAUGUUGGGACUCAUAUUAUGUGCCUUUCGGGCGGCUGUCCUCCCAAUUAACUGAGUAAUGGAGCCAGCGGAGCAAGAAAGGACCGUGGAUGUCUGUGCAGGACUGAGGAGUUUAAUUCAUUUACUGCUGUCAUCAUAACAGUGAAUUUUACUAGCUGUCCAAUUAUAUAGCCUUGUACUGCACAAAAGGAUGGCUGUGGAGCAAGCUGUGCAAAGAUCAUGAGCCUGGACAGAUGCUUUGAUUUCAUUCACCGGCGCAGUACUUGUUUAUUACGUGGAUGGAUGUCGGAGAGGUCACUGUGGAUACAAGAACACUCAAGUAAAAAGACUGAACCUAAAGACGUGUUGGAUAAGGGAAACCUAACUUGGGCCUUGGCAAGAGGAACAGGAUUAAAAUACACCAAAUAGGACAUUGAAUCUGAUGCGGCAGUGAGUAAGAAUGGAAACAAGGCUGUGUCUCUCGUAGAGAAGACUAACUGGACCACAAAUCUGGCAUGGCGUUGACGAAGAAAAUAAAUUGAACCGCAAACCUGAUGGCAGUGAGGGAGAAGAGAAAUGGGACCAUGAAUCCUUAUGUAGCAGCAAAGAAGAGAAAUGUCGUGAAUGCAAGGUGCUUUUGUACCAGCAAGAAGAAGAUUGGCUUGGAGUAUUAUAGUGACUUUGCUGUACAUUUAUGAGUAGUUCCUUUAGGAAAUCCCUCAAGAGCAAGCGAAGAAAUGGCAGCCCCUUGUAAUACAGUGACCAGGACAAGUGGGAGUGUGUCCCCUCAACAGAAGUGAUUUCCCAACCUUGGUCCCAGGAGACCCCUGUGUAUGCCAUUCUUUGUUCUAACCACAUUUGCAAUCUGGGAAUUUCAACAAGCUGUUCAUUUUUCAUUAUCCAGUGCUUUUCAUGUUUGGAUGGAUUAUUUAUCCUCUUAAGCCACAAUGUCAGAAAUGGCUCUGCAUGCCAUGAAGAAUACAAGUCACUUUGUGGUUAUCAUGUUCAAAAUUGGAUUGCAUCAAAAUUAUUUAACUGAUCCAGUUAGACUGAGGGGAAUCCACAGGCUCCUAAUUGAAGGUGUGGCAAAAUCACUGAUGUUUUUUUUAGAUUAAUGAAGAAAUCAGACAAAACAAGUGAUAAUUAGCCAAGCCUGUGUUGUUAAUUUUAAGGGAAAAAAUAUGAAAGAACUUCAAAUGCAUGGGUUCAACAACCUAAUGGGGAGCCUGUUGGUGCACUGCAGUUUUUAUUUUGUUCAGUUAAAAAAUUUUGUUGCCUCUUUAGGUGCAGUACCAUCAUACAAAAAGAUGAUGUUCACAGUAUGAACGUUUUUGUUCUUCAUGGCAUGCACAGCGGUUUCUGACAGAAUGUGGAGUAAGAGGGUAACUAAUCCCUCCGAACAUGAAAAAGCUUUUUAAAAAUUCUGGGAUUGCAGCUGUGGUUGGAAUGAAAACCAGCAACCUUGUGACUGUGGUUGGGAUCCUGUGCUCGGCAGCACAGACGUCAAACUCCAGUCUUGGAGGGCUGCAGUGUCUGCUUAUUUUCAGGGUGAUCUCGGCACCAGUGGCACAUUUAAGUCAUUGAUUGCCUGAAGUAUCCACACACCUUGUUCCCAAGGCUUUAAUUUGGCAGCUGAUUGAAAGGAAACCACAAAAAACUAAAGACACUACAGCCCCCUGGGAAUUUAGUUUGACACCUCAGCUGUACUGUCUGGCUAAGGGGACGGAUCUGGUGCUGCUUGGCACUGCGAUGAUUCGUUGUGUAAAACUUAAAAUGGAAUUUGGUGCUCCUGCAAGUGCUGAUUACCUUUAGCUUGUUUAAUAUGUUGUGCUAUGUUAGAGUUAAAAUAGGAUUAUCUUGUAAGUAAACUUGUGAAAUAAAUGCCCCUUGUAAAAAUC